CCCUCUUAUAGUUAAUGUAAUUUAUGUUUUGAGUAGUAAAUGAUAUAAUCAGGAAACUUAUAGAAUUUGGCGGUGUAUAUUCUAACUAGAGGAAUAUGUUUUUUAAUCGAUAAUCCCCGUUAAUCUUACUUUUAAAAAUUUAUUUUGUAUAUCUCCGUCUUAAAAAAAUUUUUUAAAAUAUAUUUUUAUUUUUAUAAAAUGAAAAAAGUCAGGUCAAGGUGCAGAUAAUGUAAAAGUUAAAAUGUAUUACAAUAAAAUUAUUUUUGGAUUUAAUUUUAAAUAAUUAAUGAAAUUGGAUUUAUAAGUAAAUUAAUUUAAAUUAUAAUUAUUUGAAUAAUGUUAAUAUACAUGUACACAUC
rnacentral:rRNA from 1 species